UGGGCGUAAAGCGCACGCAGGCGGUUUGUUAAGUCAGAUGUGAAAUCCCCGCGCUUAACGUGGGAACUGCAUUUGAAACUGGCAAGCUAGAGUCUUGUAGAGGGGGGUAGAAUUCCAGGUGUAGCGGUGAAAUGCGUAGAGAUCUGGAGGAAUACCGGUGGCGAAGGCGGCCCCCUGGACAAAGACUGACGCUCAGGUGCGAAAGCGUGGGGAGCAAACAGGAUUAGAUACCCUGGUAGUCCACGCUGUAAACGAUGUCGACUUGGAGGUUGUGCCCUUGAGGCGUGGCUUCCGGAGCUAACGCGUUAAGUCGACCGCCUGGGGAGUACGGCCGCAAGGUUAAAACUCAAAUGAAUUGACGGGGGCCCGCACAAGCGGUGGAGCAUGUGGUUUAAUUCGAUGCAACGCGAAGAACCUUACCUACUCUUGACAUCCAGAGAAUUCGCUAGAGAUAG
rnacentral:rRNA from 1 species